rnacentral:other from 1 species
AACAAGCUGCAUUGUACGUAAUCAUAAUAAAGUUUUAACCUUUAAGCUGAAAUAGGGAGUUUAACAUUGAAACAGGAAUGACAAGCCUCUGUCUAAACGACAAGGAGGACAGGCAGGAAUGUUUCUGCGAACACCCACUUUGAGGAGUGGUGGUUUAAAACUUUCUUAUAACCAGUUACGGCAAGGGCGGCUACAUA